CGUUCUCUCCGUAGUCAUACCGAGGAAGAGAAAAUGAUCAUUUUUUCAAAGCUUGCUACAUUGAAAUACGACCAUUUCUCCUAGACUUGCAUCAACCUUCUCCCCCACGCCCCAAAUAUUUUUAUUUAAAAAAAAAAUCAGAAGAAUAGAUCCAAGUACCCUAUAAACUACACCUAGAUUACUUGGUUCCAAGGCGAAGGAAAAUGGUUACGAUUCCAAGACUCACUCGGAAGCCUGGAUCUGCAAUGCGUAAGCUUUUCGCUGGCAAGAUCAGUCAAUCUCAGAAAGCAUGUAACGUUGACAAGGUUAAGUGGAUGAAGAUUGAAACAACAAAAUAAUCAGCUAAGAAACAUUUUUUUUUUUUUGCCAAGUAACCAUAAAGUAAUUUCGGUCCUAAGGAAUCCGAGGGCUUUCUUGUUCUGUUGAGGCCAAGAAGCCCUUGCACGAUCUAAAGUGCCACCGAGGCGUCGGGGAUGGAGAAGACGACGGUUUCUAACGCAGGGCGAGCCCGCGGUCGUCACCCUCGGCACGAUCUCACCUUUGGGUGGAAGUGGGAAGGACCCAGAUGGUACAGUCAGACUGCCCUGGAUGGAAAUUCUGACUCCUGCUCCUACAAAUGACCUUGGACAACUUACGGAACUGAGACUCUUUCCUCGCCUGUUUCCUCGAGUCAUGAGACUUAAAUGACACAAUGCAAUUGAAGUGCCUCACAGAGCCUAGGAUACAGUAGGUCUAAACAUAUGGCGGUUUCUUUUUCCCUCAGGAGCCUUCUGAGCUCCUAGUGUACUGCUGAACACACAGUAGGAGCACAGUAAACAUCCAGUGAUGAACUAAA